CGGGGUGAGUAAUGUAUGGGGAUCUGCCUGAUGGCGGGGGGUAACUACUGGAAACGGUAGCUAAUACCGCAUAACGUCGCAAGACCAAAGAGGGGGACCUUAGGGCCUCUUGCCAUCGGAUGUGCCCAGAUAGGAUUAGCUAGUAGGUGGGGUAAUGGCUCACCUAGGCGACGAUCCCUAGCUGGUCUGAGAGGAUGACCAGCCACACUGGAACUGAGACACGGUCCAG
rnacentral:rRNA from 1 species